rnacentral:rRNA from 1 species
AUUCCAGCUCCAAUAGCGUAUAUUAAAGUUGUUGCAGUUAAAAAGCUCGUAGUUGGAUUUCUGGUGGGGCUGUCGGCCUGGCUCCGAAAGGGGUCGUGGUUAGUACACGCCUGGCCAUCCUCGGGGGAAGCUUUGCUGGCAUUAAGUUGUCGGCGGAGUGACGCUCGUCGUUUACUGUGAACAAAUUAGAGUGUUCAAAGCAGGCUUAGGCCGUUGAAUACAUUAGCAUGGAAUAAUGAGAUAGGACUUUGGUGGUCUAUUUUGUUGGUUUGCACGCCGAAGUAGUGAUUAAUAGGGGCGGUUGGGGGUAUUCGUAUUCAAUUGUCAGAGGUGAAAUUCUCGGAUUUGCAAAAGACUAACUUAUGCGAAAGCAUUUGCCAAGGAUGUUUUCAUCA